AAGUUUCUGAAUUUAUUGUCUAAAAGAUUUAUGUUUUCUGUGACAUCUUUCAGUAAUGUAGAGAUCCUGCGAGUAUGACAAAUCAAUAUUCUUAAAAUAAUCUAAACCUUAAUGCUACUCCCUCCAGCUAGCUUCCCAUAUGGUCUUCUAGAUGAAGUGAUAUAAACAAGACUUGCUGAAUAAAGAAUCUUGUCAUCCAUACGAUCAAUCGGAGAGUGAAUGGAAUCUGAAAAUGCAGCUAUGAAAAAGUUACCAACCUAGAAGAGCAAUAUUAGUCCAUCAAUUGGACUUGGCAGCCAUCUCCUUUCUAGCUUUUCUUGCAUUCUCAUACUCAAAUUCCAACACAUUUUGUAUAUGCGAAGUAUCUUUCACAUAAAACAUCCUCCCGAAACUACUCUCCUCAAUCACAGGGAAAAAAUUAAAAAGCUUGUAAUUCACCACCCAAAACCAUGCUGCUCCCAGAAAAAUACCCAAAGUAGCACCAGCAAACACCUGCGGCACCGUAUGGUAUCCCAAGUACACCCUCGAUUGCAUGGUCAAAACCGCCAAUAACCACGGCAGGAAACACCUCGCCCACUUGUGAUUAACUUUGGUUAACCCAAUUCCUUUAAAGGUCAAUAGAGUAAAGUAGACGGCAAAGAAGAACAUGUACUGAGAGUGACUGGAUGGCCAGCCGUGCGAAUCGCACAUCUCGAGAAAGAUGCAGGUCUCGGGGCGGGCUUGCUGGACCAAUGUCUUGAUGAAGUCGCUGAUGAAAUGGGAAAUGAGGAGGCCAAGAGCGAAGAACAUGCCCUGGAGUUCGCGACGGAAGAAGAAAUGGCAAAUGAAUCCACCUAAACUUAUGAAGACCGGGACUAGCGAGAUCCAAGCUAAUAAAUGGCCUAAGUGGUCGCCCUUUUGGUACCGGACGUGGGUGAGAGUGACGGCCUUGAGUGGAGGAUGGGCCAUGGUGAUAUUGAUAAUUCUGGGUGUGGAGAAUGGCGAGAGAUCUGUGAGAUGUGGUGGUGUUUGGGUUUCGUGUUCUGUGAUUGUCCUCGAUAAUCCGUCGACGUAGAAAGUUACAUAAGGAUAAGGAUGAAGAAAAGCGAGGCCUAGGAACUAGGGAGGGAUGAGGAGCAGCCAGCAGAGGGGGGGGGGACGCAGGUUUGGGGCUUGUACAUAUAUAUUGAACCAUCGAGCAAGGGUG
rnacentral:misc_RNA from 1 species